GGUUCGAUCAUGGCUCAGAUUGAACGCUGGCGGGAUAUUUUUGAAGGUCUACGCAAGUCGAACGGCAGCACGGACUUCGGUCUGGUGGCGAGUGGCGAACGGGUGAGUAAUGUAUCGAACGUGCCUAGUAGUGGGGAUAACUACGCGAAAGGUAGCUAAUACCGCAUGGUCACCCUUCGGGAAAGCGGGGACCUUCGGGCCUCUUUGCACUAUUAGAGCGGCCGAUAUCGGAUUAGCCAGUUGGUGGGUAACGGCUCACCAAGGCGACGAUCCGUAGCUGGUUUGAGAUGGACGACCAGCCACACUGGGACUGAGACACGGCCCAGACUCCGCCGGGAGGCAGCAGUGGGGAAUUUUGACAAUGGGGAACCUUAUCCAGCCAUAUCCUGGGCGUGUGCGACGAAGGCUCUCGGGUUGUGUGUGCUAAUUCUUGGCAGGAAAAGAAACGGCACGAUACCCCGUGCAACUGACGGUACCUGCAGAAGGGCACCGGCUAACUACGUGCCAGCAGCCGCGGUAAUACGUAGGGUGCAAGCAAGUUAAUCGGAAAUUCAGCUUGGGCGUAAGCGUGCGCAGGCGGUUCGGAAAGAAAGAUGUGAAAUCCCAGAGCUUAACUUUGGAACCGGGUAUUUUUAACUACCGAGCUAGAGGUCGGGAGGGAGGUGGAAUUCCGCGUGUAGCAGUGGAAUGCAGAUAUGCGGAGGAACACCCCGCGAAGGCAGCCUCCUGGGAUAACACUGACGCUCAUGCACGAAAGUCGGGGAGCAAACAGGAUUAGAUACCCCGGUAGUCCACGCCCUAAACGAUGUCAACUAGCUGUUGGGGCCUUCGGCCUUGGCAGCGCAGCUAACGGGGCGUGAAGUUGACCGCCUGGGGAGGAUGGUCGCAAGAUUAAAACUCAAAGGAAUUGACGGGGACCGCAACGCGUGGAUGAUGUGAUUGACCUGAUGCAACGCGAAAAAACCUUACCUACCCUGAUAUGUCUGAAUCCCGAAGAGAUUUGGGAGUGUCGUAAGAGAACUGGAACACGGUGUUGCAUGGCUGCCGUCAGCUCGUGUCGUGAGAUGUUGGGUUAAGUCCCGCAACGAGCGCAACCCUUUGUCAUUAGUUGCUGUUGAAAGGCACUCUGAAUGAGACUGCCGGUGACAAACCGGAGGAAGGUGGGGAUGACGUCAAGUCCUCAUGGCCUAAGGGGUAGGGCCACACGUCAUACAAUGGUCGGGACAGAGGGUCGCCAACUCCGGCGUGGAGGGGGAGCUAAUCCCAGAAACCCGAUCGUAGUCCGGAACGCAAAGUCUGCAACUCGACUGCGUGAAGUCGGAAUCGCCAGGUAAUCGCGGAUCAGCAUGUCGCGGUGAAUACGUUCCCGGGUCUUGUACACACCGCCCGUCAAAGCGACCAUGGGAGUGGCUCUUACCAGGAAGAAGCUUAGCCCAACCGCAGAGGGCGAUUACCACGGUAGGAUUCAUGACUGGGGUGCAAAGUC
rnacentral:rRNA from 1 species